UUUAUAAAGAAGAGGCGAGAGACAGGCUCAUUGACCCUCUGGCAACCUUCCAAAGUGGAAAGGUGCCAAAUCCUGCCGACUGAGGUAUUCUCAUACGGAAAUAUAA
rnacentral:ncRNA from 1 species